GAUGAACGCUGGCGGCGUGCCUAAUACAUGCAAGUCGAGCGAACGGACGAGAAGCUUGCUUCUCUGAUGUUAGCGGCGGACGGGUGAGUAACACGUGGAUAACCUACCUAUAAGACUGGGAUAACUUCGGGAAACCGUAGCUAAUACCGGAUAAUAUUUUGAACCGCAUGGUUCAAAAGUGAAAGACGGUCUUGCUGUUACUUAUAGAUGGAUCCGCGCUGCAUUGGCUAGUUGGUAAGGUAACGGCUUACCAAGGCAACGAUGCAUAGCCGACCUGAGAGGGUGAUCGGCCACACUGGAACUGGAACACGGUCCAGACUCCUACGGGAGGCAGCAGUGGGGAAUCUUCGGCAAUGGGCGAAAGCCUGACGGAGCAACGCCGCGUGAGUGAUGAAGGUCUUCGGAUCGUAAAACUCUGUUAUUAGGGAAGAACAUAUGUGUAAGUAACUGUGCACAUCUUGACGGUACCUAAUCAGAAAGCCACGGCUAACUACGUG
rnacentral:rRNA from 1 species